rnacentral:rRNA from 1 species
UACGUAGGGGGCUAGCGUUGUCCGGAUUUAUUGGGCGUAAAGAGCGUGUAGGCGGUUUGGUAGGUCCGCUGUGAAAACUCGAGGCUCAACCUCGAGACGCCGGUGGAAACCAUCAGGCUAGAGUCCGGAAGAGGAGAGUGGAAUUCCUGGUGUAGCGGUGAAAUGCGCAGAUAUCAGGAAGAACACCCGUGGCGAAGGCGGCUCUCUGGGACGGUAC